rnacentral:misc_RNA from 1 species
UACGGAGGGUGCAAGCGUUAUCCGGAAUCAUUGGGUUUAAAGGGUCCGUAGGUGGGGCGCUAAGUCAGAGGUGAAAUCCCACGGCUCAACCGUGGCACUGCCUUUGAUACUGGCGUCCUUGAGUCAUUGUGAAGCGGUUAGAAUAUGUGGUGUAGCGGUGAAAUGCAUAGAUAUCACAUAGAACACCGAUUGCGAAGGCAGAUCGCUAACGAUGCACUGACACUGAUGGACGAAAGCGUGGGGAGCGAACGGG